GACGAACGCUGGCGGCGUGCUUAUCACAUGCAAGUCGAACGGUAAGGCCCUUCGGGGUACACGAGUGGCGAACGGGUGAGUAACACGUGGGUGAUCUGCCCUGCACUUCGGGAUAAGCCUGGGAAACUGGGUCUAAUACCGGAUAGGACCACUGCCUGCAUGGGUGGUGGUGGAAAGCUUUUGCGGUGUGGGAUGGGCCCGCGGCCUAUCAGCUUGUUGGUGGGGUGAUGGCCUACCAAGGCGACGACGGGUAGCCGGCCUGAGAGGGUGGCCGGCCACACUGGGACUGAGAUACGGCCCAGACUCCUACGGGAGGCAGCAGUGGGGAAUAUUGCACAAUGGGCGCAAGCCUGAUGCAGCGACGCCGCGUGAGGGAUGACGGCCUUCGGGUUGUAAACCUCUUUCAGCACCGACGAAGCGCAAGUGACGGUAGGUGCAGAAGAAGGACCGGCCAACUACGUGCCAGCCGCCGCUGUAA
rnacentral:rRNA from 1 species